AAAAGAAUAAAAAAGACAAGGCACCACCAUGCGGAUGUUUCGUGACAGCGAGUUAUAUAAGCGCCAUCGCUGGCCCUUCAGAGUAUUCACAACUCCAACCUUCAAAUAUGAGCAAGUUAUUCACCGUUCUUCUUCUGGUCAGCUGCCUGUCCAUGGCAUUCUUUCCAGCCUCUGUUGACGGUUGGUUGUGGAAUCAAUGGCAACGAGCAAAUGCGGCUAAUGCCGAUGCUCUGAUCAAUAGAGCGAGACGUGACGCUGGCGAAGUAUCAUAUACCAAAGGUGAUGCUGUUGGAGAGGCACUAGACUAGUGAGGCUAUGCAUGACAGAGCGAAACCACCAUAACCCAUAUAUCUACACCUUUCUUUCACUUACGUUUUUAUUUUUAUUUUGUUUGUGGUGGAAAUAAAGUAUCGAUUUAAUAA